rnacentral:rRNA from 1 species
CCGUACGGGAGGCAGCAGGUGGGGAAUCUUGCGCAAUGGGCGAAAGCCUGACGCAGCCAUGCCGCGUGAAUGAUGAAGGUCUUAGGAUUGUAAAAUUCUUUCACCGAGGACGAUAAUGACGGUACUCGGAGAAGAAGCCCCGGCUAACUUCGUGCCAGCAGCCGCGGUAAUACGAAGGGGGCUAGCGUUGCUCGGAAUUACUGGGCGUAAAGGGAGCGUAGGCGGAUAGUUUAGUCAGAGGUGAAAGCCCAGGGCUCAACCUUGGAAUUGCCUUUGAUACUGGCUAUCUUGAGUACGGAAGAGGUAUGUGGAACUCCGAGUGUAGAGGUGAAAUUCGUAGAUAUUCGGAAGAACACCAGUGGCGAAGGCGACAUACUGGUCCGUUACUGACGCUGAGGCUCGAAAGCGUGGGGAGCAAACAGGAUUAGGAUACCCUGGUAGUCCACGCUGUAAACGAUGAGUGCUAGUUGUCGGCAUGNAUGCNUGUCGUGACGCAGCGUACGCAUAGACACUCCGCCGUCGGGAGGUACGGUCGCGAAGAAGUUAAACGUUAAAGUAGUAAGUAGACGCGUGAGACGUGACCGACGGACGACGACGAGGGAGAGG